ACGUUAGCGGCGGACGGGUGAGUAACACGUGGGUAACCUAACUAUAAGACUGGGAUAACUUCGGGAAACCGGAGCUAAUACCGGAUAAUAUUUCGAACCGCAUGGUUCGAUAGUGAAAGGUGGUUUUGCUAUCACUUAUAGAUGGACCCGCGCCGUAUUAGCUAGUUGGUAAGGUAACGGCUUACCAAGGCGACGAUACGUAGCCGACCUGAGAGGGUGAUCGGCCACACUGGAACUGAGACACGGUCCAGACUCCUACAGGAGGCAGCAGAC
rnacentral:rRNA from 1 species